rnacentral:rRNA from 1 species
UGCAGUCGAGCGAGAAGGGGCCUUCGGGCCCUGAGUACAGCGGCGAACUGGUGAGUAACAGGUGGGUAAUGUGCCCUGAAGUGGGGGAUAACACCGGGAAACCGGUGCUAAUACCGCAUGUGACCAUCAAGACCCCGGUCUUAAUGGUCAAAGACGCAAGUCGCUUCAGGAUCGGCCCGCCCCCGAUUAGCUAGUUGGUGAGGUCAUGGCUCACCAAGGCAACGAUCGGUAGCUGGUCUGAGAGGAUGGUCAGCCACACUGGGACUGAGAUACGGCCCAGACUCCUACGGGGGGCAGCAGUCUAGAGGCUUCGGCAAUGGGGGCAACCCUGACCGAGCGACGCCGCGUGUGGGAUUGAAGGCCUUCGGGUCGUAAACCACUGUCAUGAGGGAAGAAUACCGGAAUGGCGAAUUCCGGGGCGACGGUACCUCAGGAGGAAGCCCCGGCUAACUCCGUGCCAGCAGCCGCGGUAAUACGGAGGGGGCAAGCGUUGUUCGGAUUUACUGGGCGUAAAGGGUGUGUAGGCGGUUGCGCAAGUCUGGUGUGAAAUCUUCACCGCUUAACGGGAAGAGGUCACUGGAAACUGCAUAACUCGAGUGUGGUAGAGGCAAGCGGAAUUCCUGGUGUAGCGGUGGAAUGUGUAGAUAUCAGGAAGAACAUCUGUGGCGAAGGCGGCUUGCUGGGCUAUCACUGACGCUGAGACACGAAAGCGUGGGGAGCAAACGGGAUUAGAUACCCCGGUAGUCCACGCUGUA